rnacentral:rRNA from 1 species
UACGAAGGGGGCUAGCGUUGUUCGGAAUUACUGGGCGUAAAGCGCGCGCAGGCGGCUAUCCAAGUCAGUGGUGAAAGCCCGGAGCUCAACUCCGGAACUGCCAUUGAAACUGUUUAGCUUGAGGACGAGAGAGGUGAGUGGAAUUCCCAGUGUAGAGGUGAAAUUCGUAGAUAUUGGGAGGAACACCGGUGGCGAAGGCGGCUCACUGGCUCGUAUCUGACGCUCAGGCGCGAUAGCGUGGGGAUCAAACAGG